CUUCUGUAGCACUAAAGUGCUUAUAGUGCAGGUAGUGUGUAGCCAUCUACUGCAUUACGAGCACUUAAAGUACUGCCAGCU
rnacentral:pre_miRNA from 7 species